GGAUAGCUCACUCGGAAGAGCAUGAGACUCUUAAUCUCAGGGUUGUGAGUUAAAACCCCACCUUGGGCG